rnacentral:lncRNA from 1 species
CGUGGAAAUCGGAACAAACACCACAGGUAGCUAGCACUAGCACUAGCACUAGCAUACCGCAUCCACUGCUCCCAUCAGCCACAGUAGCAGCUUCUUCUUCCUAGCAAGAGCUUAGCUUGCUUCCCACUGUUACAACUUCGGCAGCUUGCAUUUCGUUCGAUCGCACACGCUUAAACUGCGAUGGCACCAGUGUCGUCGGAGGCGGCUAGCUACCUGGUGCUCAUCAAAGGCGGCAGCAUUGCCGCCUCUUCGCGUGCCGUUUACCCUUGGGAUGGCUGCAGCGCGCGGGGAAGGAUGACAGAGACCGACAGCGACGACGACGACGACGACUACGACUGCGCUCCUGCUGCCUGAUCGAGAAGCCGCCGCGUUCUGGUGAAAUUGAUCUGCGUGUGUUCUCUGAGAUGAUGAGAUAUGCUGCCCCGUACGUAGGCGGUAGGCGAACCGGCGAAGAGCAUGUAGUAUGUAGUAGUACUACGUAUUGUUAAUCGCAGAAUAGAGUACGUACAUACGUGCCGCUGCUUAAAGCUAAUAAUUUGGUCGUUUAAUUUCCACUCCUAGGUAAUGGGUAUACAUGUAUUUCGGGUAGCUGAUUUAUGAGCCAGUGUGGUUUUCGUCCCGGGACUAAGCUAGAGAUCAUGCAGGCUAGCUAGAUUGAUUAUGUAAGCAAUAAACACUGGGAUAGAUCUUCCUGUACUUCGUAUCUGAUAACGCAAUAAACUGAAUCUAGUUUUUU